GAUGAACGCUAGCGGGAGGCCUAACACAUGCAAGCCGAGCGGUAUUGUUUCUUCGGAAAUGAGAGAGCGGCGUACGGGUGCGGAACACGUGUGCAACCUGCCUUUAUCUGGGGGAUAGCCUUUCGAAAGGAAGAUUAAUACUCCAUAACAUAUCGAUUGGCAUCAAUUAAUAUUGAAAGCUCCGGCGGAUAGAGAUGGGCACGCGCAAGAUUAGCUAGUUGGUGAGGUAACGGCUCACCAAGGCGAUGAUCUUUAGGGGGCCUGAGAGGGUGAUCCCCCACACUGGUACUGAGACACGGACCAGACUCCUACGGGAGGCAGCAGUGAGGAAUAUUGGUCAAUGGGUGCAAGCCUGAACCAGCCAUCCCGCGUGGAGGACGACUGCCCUAUGGGUUGUAAACUUCUUUUGUAUAGGGAUAAACCUACCCUCGUGAGGGUAGCUGAAGGUACUAUACGAAUAAGCACCGGCUAACUCCGUGCCGGCAGCCGCAGUAACAC
rnacentral:rRNA from 1 species